AUAUCUGCCUUUCUCGAUAUCUCUUUCUCCUUACAGCUGAUUAAAAGCAGAGAGAGCAAACCAAUCCCGGCAUCAAUCUGGUAUUUUGGCAUCUGGGAUGACGCUUACAGCUAAUAACUUGUAUGGGUUGACAUCAAAACCACGAAAAAUAUCUGGUUUGGGCUCCUUGAUCUUACUCUGAAGAAGAAGAAGAAGAAGAAGAAUCACCCAGACACACACUGAGAAAGUUUUGAGUUUGCUUUGCUGCCAUUUGUGGAUGCAUGUCAAUGUCAUCUUCUUCGAAACCAAGCAUCAAUUCGAUCUGAAUUGGAUCCUUCUGCUGCCCUUCCUUUAUACCUUGAUGAAAUCUUUCACCCUGUUGUUGCCGUUUUGCUGUCUGUAACAUUUGCUCUAAUCUUCAGAGUGGUAUGUUGCCUACUCGAUUUAUCUUAAGAUCAUUGAGAAUUUGAGAUGCAAUGGGAUAUUGGGAUUGCGAUUGACUUGUGACCUGCCAUUCACAAGCUAUAUGCUCAAGAUAUGUAUGGGCUUUCUGUUGGCUUGUUCGCAUUCUGAUGUAGUUUUGGUGAAUUAUGUUAUGUUGGGUAUUUAUGGGAUUCGGGGUUUGGUUAUGUUUGAUUAUUAUUGGGUUUUGAUGCUCUUCUUGAAAUCUCAUGUUUGGUUGCUGGGAAAUUGAAGCAGGACAAGAAGAGAGAAGAAAAUGCAGUGAACCCUUUUUGAUUGUUAGUUUGAGUUUAUUAUGCAAGUCUAUUGGCUUUACUGUUAUUUCUUAUAUAUGUUGCUUGAAGAUUAUUAGUUUGAUUAUUGAGUUGGUAGUGCUAUAGGACUUUUAGACUGCCGUGCUGAUGAGUUUAGGAAUUGACAGGAGAGGAAUACCAGUUUGAAGAAUUUGUGCAGGUGGAUUCCGAACUUUGCUCCCCAGAAGCAGGAGGUCCAAAACAUCACAGCGCACUCCCACUGGUACUGCAUUGCUCAGACUUGUUUGGUUUGCAAUAGCGAUCCUAAGCUUGAUGUCAACUAUUCUGUAAGUAAGCUUUAAAUUUGUCAAUGACAAAUGAUUACUGAGAAAAGUGUUAAUAAAGAAAGACAAAUAUAUAUAAUCACACUUGUCCACCUACACUUGCGCACAUAAUCAAGCAGAAUGUGUAAGUAGAUCACAUUAUAUGCUGGAAGAAUUUACAUGACCUAAAAAUCUGGACUUUAAGUGGGUUAUUUUAUUCUAUUUGAUGUGCUACUGCUGGUCUUUGCAUAUUCUUCUCUCUCUUAUUUGCUUAUGCGCAAUGGCCCUCGAUUCCUGCACGCACCACAAACAUCCUCUUCUUGUGCUCGAUUCGAUACCGGCCGUGGAAAACUGAAGUUAUCUUGAAGAAAGUAGUCAUUGCACUUGGCAAGAGUGUAGCUGGAAGUAUCAAAGAAUAAGUUCAGAGUAUGGCAUAGGAAUGGAGGUGUCAACAAGUGGUGACAUCUAUAGCUAUGAAAUCCUGCUAUUUGAGAUGCUGAUAGGCAAGAGAUUGAUAUAUGACGUGUUUAAAGACGGCCUGAACUUGCAUAAAUUUGUCAAAUAAGGCUUUGGCCUCCUUAUCCUAUUGGAUGGUGAUCAGAGCUGAGUCUUCUAGCCAUCCCAGCCAGCUUUUGAGCAAGCAGCACUUGGAGCCUAUUAUUGAAGAGGAGCUUUUGAACGAGCACAUGGACACUAUUGAAGAGGACAUGUAGAACAAGAAACUUUGAACUAUGUCAUUUUUUUUUUGUUUACUGAUAAUCUGAUAUUAGUGUGCUUUGUUUAGUGUACGACUGGCUUUGAUUAACCAACAAGAUGCUACCAGUCUACUUUGUUCUUGGGAUUUUAUGAUCUGUACCUAAAAUUAUGCCUGACCGA